rnacentral:rRNA from 1 species
CAGCAGCCGCGGUAAUACGUAGGUGGCGAGCGUUGUCCGGAUUUAUUGGGCGUAAAGCGAGCGCAGGCGGUUAGAUAAGUCUGAAGUUAAAGGCUGUGGCUUAACCAUAGUACGCUUUGGAAACUGUUUAACUUGAGUGCAAGAGGGGAGAGUGGAAUUCCAUGUGUAGCGGUGAAAUGCGUAGAUAUAUGGAGGAACACCGGUGGCGAAAGCGGCUCUCUGGCUUGUAACUGACGCUGAGGCUCGAAAGCGUGGGGAGCAAACAGGAUUAGAUACCCCUGUAGUCCCUGUCUCUUAUACA